rnacentral:rRNA from 1 species
CCUACGGGAGGCUGCAGUGGGGCAUAUUGCACAAUGGGGGAAACCCUGAUGCAGCGACGCCGCGUGAGCGAUGAAGUAUUUCGGUAUGUAAAGCUCUAUCAGCAGGGAAGAAGAUGACGGUACCUGACUAAGAAGCCCCGGCUAACUACGUGCCAGCAGCCGCGGUAAUACGUAGGGGGCAAGCGUUAUCCGGAUUUACUGGGUGUAAAGGGAGCGUAGACGGCGAUGCAAGCCAGAUGUGAAAGCCCGGGGCUCAACCCCGGGACUGCAUUUGGAACUGUGUGGCUGGAGUGUCGGAGAGGCAGGCGGAAUUCCUAGUGUAGCGGUGAAAUGCGUAGAUAUUAGGAGGAACACCAAUAGCGUAGGCAGGUUGCUGGGACGGUUCUGACACUAAGGCACGAAAGCGUAGGGAGCAAACGGGAUUAGAUACCCUUGUAGUC